CUCACAAGCCUAUCUUCUACUUGUUUCCUUGCAACAUCAUUUAGCGACUGCAUCUGUUAGCCACCCCUUCACUCAGAGGCAGCUGUGCAAAGAUUGAACCAUGUGAUCCUGAAAGCACAACACUGAAAGCUUCUGACUGUGCCAAGAGGAGAGAGUAGGGAAACAAAGGCCAAAGCCAGGGCCAAAGCCAGCUGCCAGGAACCCCCAUCUCCAACAGCAACACAGGAAAAUAAUAGAAAGGACAAGACAGACCAACUCUUCCCUAUGUCCAAAGCAUAAGAAAGCCAGGAAGAAGGAAUGAUUGGGACUUGAUCUGAGCUCCACAACUUUAUGUCUUCCCAACUCACCAUGCACGUACGUGAUCAAGAGCCUGGUUUCUGCAGAAGAGGCUGACCUUUG